AAUAAAGGGAAGAUGGCUUGUCCCCGUCCCACGGCGCCUCGACACCGUCGCUUAGAGGAUUCUCCAGCCUGUCUGUCUUUUUGGGGGGGGGGGGUUAACCGGGGAUCAAACUCAGGACCCCGAGCUUGUGAGGCAGGUGGGCGGCACCACUGAGCUAAAUCCUCCUGUGUCUCUUUUAGGACUGCACUUCCCAGCUAUGUAUGAGAGAUAACCAUUUUCCCUUUUGGGGUCCCAGUUCCUGGACAGUUCCAAGGGGUUGGCUCUCAAGAGGCCAUUCGUAGCCAGUAGUUAGGGAAAGCCCUUCCACCCCAUCAUCGGAACUCUCUCAAUAUGAUGGAGAGUGGCACACGGUUUAAAGAUGAUGGAAGCUAGGCUCCAACCCUCUUGCUGUCGCCUCCUCCUCCAGCCCUCCAACUCCCGGUGGGCUUCAGAGAGCUAGGGCAGGCUCAGUCCCACCAGGUUGGGCUGCUGCCAUCGGAAGAAAGAGGUGAAGAGCAAAGAUCCUCGUUCCGCGGAGCAGACCUAGCGUUUGCUGUUUGCUUGACAAUCUUCCCCGGCGGAGGUGCUGGAAUGAACGAGUGGAGAUGGACUUUACAUCGCGGCACAAAACCCCUGACUGUCUUAUGAAGUGGUGCAACCUCGGAGCUUCUCAGAAGGCAACCGAACUUCAACGUGCUUUCUCACGGCAGAUUCACUUACACAUUGCAAGCAGAAUUAUCAUCUCCCUGGUACGGGACACAGGAGCUGGGGGGCCCAGAGAGGAGCCCCUGCUUUCCAGUGUGGAUGGUUUGCUUAGACCUCGCCAGAAGCCUCCCUCCCCUAUUUACCCUGCCUUCCCAACUUGUGUGGCAGCGGAGCCCUCUUCCUGCAGGUCCGGUGCACCGCACCGGGACUUCGGAACACUGGAGCCCGUGGGGACGCCCGGGAGCUUCGCAGCGGU
rnacentral:lncRNA from 1 species